UAAAUCUGCUGCCAUUGGGAUACCCAAUGCUAAUGGAGAUCACAACACACUUCUGCUAAACUUUGCAUUGGGUCCAGUGCCUUCCAAAGAGUAUAUCGCUGCUAGCUUUUCCAAGUUUGGUCCAUUAGAGGAAUCCAAAACUCAGUACCUAAAUGAUUCCACUGCCCAGGUUGUCUUUGUAAAGGCUGGUGAUGCUAUGGAAGCCUUGCAGAGUUUACAAAGCAGAAACCCGUUUGGACCUUCCCUUGUCAGUUAUCGUCUCCGUCAGGUCUCAACUUCUAAUAACAUGCAGACGUCACAUUCUUUUCUGCCCGCGGAUGCACUCCAACCUGGAGCAGUACCUUCAAAUGGUGAGGAACCUAAUCUUGUCGUCAUAAAACAGAAUCUGGAGGCAAUGACAACAAUGCUUGAGAAGGCUGGUGAUAACAUCUCCCCUGAGAUGAGAGCCAAGUUGGAAAGCGAGGUGAAAGGCUUCUUGAAAAAGGUA
rnacentral:lncRNA from 1 species